UUUUUUUUGGUCAGGUAAGUUGGCAUUCAUGGGUCUCAGGGUAAGUUAGGACCUAGGCAUCUCUGGUAUGCGACGUUUUGCCAGCCCACAGCACCUUUAACAUAGGUCAUACUGAUGACUCAGAGGUUCAUGUUUAGUCAGGGGAAAAUCUUAUAAGAUCAGAGCCUAUUGGCAAACUAUGAGGCUGACAUAACCAUUCUAAAAGCCAAGGUUAAGUGCCAGGAAGUGUUAGCUUCUCAAAGCAAAGGCUCCACUGAAAAUUCUUGAAUUGAUCAACCUGUUAUGAAAUGAAGCAUUUAUUUAUUAAACAAAGCUCAUUUUCAUAUCAUCAUCAUCUUAUUAUCUCAUCGUAUCAUUCUAAUUCUGUUUGCUUGCUCUUACAGUUAACACAGCCAAGAUGCUAUCGGCCAAUUCCACCCAGCUUUGUGUUCCGGGUGGUUAUGGGUAUUUUCCUCAGAGCGCCUUCAUUUCUGGGAUUCUUUCUUUAACUGCUCUCAGAUCUACCCAUCUCUGUGUUGGUCUUUGGUUAUUUUGUCCAGAUGAAUGCUUUCGGAGAGGAUAGAUUCCCAGGUUCUACCAAACAAGAGGCAGCUGAAUUUUGGAGGAUUGUUUCACUUCCUCCAAGUGGGAAACUGAAUAUUCUGGAAAAUAUGGAAGAAGAUAAUGAUGUGAUGGGAAAGACCUGCUUUCCACAGAAGAGUGGGGCUACCAGGAGAAGAAGAGAAGAGGAAUAACAGGAAGGAAAGAGAAGGUUCUCCUCAGCCCAGCAGUGGAGAGCCAGUGCCCUCCUGCCCCAGGGAAACCACACAUGCAGGAGCUUCCCGAUCCAUAUAGCACCAUGAAGCGAACCUCCGACAUCCUGGGAGAAGAGUGUGUUCACUGCGGUCACAUCUUCCUGACAAGGGCUGCAUGAUGUCCUCUAACGGGGAAAGCCAUUUCUGCUCUUUGUGUCUCCUGGAAGAGUUACAGUUGUGAGGUGUGGGUUUGGUAGAGUUUAUAGGACCUUUGAGAUGGGUCAGCUUCUGGUUUGGGGGGACUUGAAACUUCUAACAAGCAAGAACUCCUGCACAGUGCUGUCUUUGCAGAUUUGAUGCCUAGCCGGGGUCUCAGAUACUUCUGAACCUUGGAAAUAGUUACCAGAAAUAGUGAGGCCAGUGGUAACCUUAGGUUUUAUGCUGGUUGCAUGUGACUCCAAAUUUGGUCAUUAUUGGCUUUUUUUCUUUUAUAGAAACAUACGUAUUUUCAGUCCAGAUUCUACACAAUCAAGCCUGCAUAUUUAUAUUAUCUACUUUAGGAUUAGGGGUUGAAAAAUUGAUCCAAUGAAUUUGCCUACAUGCUUCUGUUUCCAGGGCUAGAAGAGCGGCUGUAUAGAAUUAGAAAAUAUUGGUUCACUUAACAAAAAUGUGUAUGUGUGCCUAAGAGUCAUUGAUAAAGAAUAGUAUGGAGAUAAAAGUUCUCUUGACUACACU